UACAGAGGUCUCAAGCGUUGUUCGGAGUUACUGGGCGUAAAGAGUGCGUAGGUGGUGCCCUAAGUCUGUUGUGAAAUCUCCCGGCUUAACUGGGAGGGUGCGGUGGAAACUGGGGUGCUUGAGUGUGGGAGAGGUAAGCGGAAUUCCUGGUGUAGCGGUGAAAUGCGUAGAUAUCAGGAGGAACACCGGUGGUGUAGACGGCUUACUGGACCACGACUGACACUGAGGCACGAAAGCGUGGGUAGCAAACAGG
rnacentral:rRNA from 1 species